UUUUUCUUGUUCACAAAAAAAUUCCCUGUAAAUCUGAAAUAUAUAUAUGUACAUACAUAUAUAUUUUUGGAAAAUGGAGCUAUGGUGUAAAAGCAACAGGUGGAUCAACCCAGUUGUUACUCUCUUAACAUCUGCAUUUGAGAGAUCAGCUAAUACUUCUCUCAACAAAAAUGGAAGGGCAGAUGCUAGAAUCCCCCCUAGACGGAGGAAAACCAUUUUAUUCAGUGAAUUACACAUCCUCUUGUUCUUAAAAAAGCAAGUGUCUUUGGUGUUGGAGGACAAAAUCCCCUACCAUUUUCACGUUGUGCUACUAAGAGAUCUCAAAUAUUAGUCUUUGUCCGGACCCUUCCAUAGUACACCUUAGCGCUGAGACUGAGCCAGCUUGGGGGUCAGGUAGGUAGACCCUGUUAGGGACAGAGCCUAGUGGUAAAUCCAAGAGAAAUGAUCCUAUCCAAAGCUGAUUCACAAACCCACGCUCACCUGACAGCCGAGGGACACGAGCAUCACUCUGCUGGACGGACCAUUAGGGGCCUUGCCAAGGUCUACCUUAGAGCAAACCCAGUACCUCAGACAGGAAAGUCGGGGCUUUGACCACUACCAUAUCUGGUAGCCCAUUUUCUAGGCAUUGUGAAUAGGUAGGUAGCUAGUCACACUUUUCAGACCAAUUCAAACUGUCUAUGCACAAAAUUCCCGUGGGCCUAGAUGGAGAUAAUUUUUUUUUCUUCUCAGCUUUAUGAAGAGAAGGGAAACUGUCUAGGAUUCAGCUGAACCACCAGGAACCUGGCAACAUCACGAUUUAAGCUAAGGUUGGGAGGCUAACGAGUCUACCUCCCUCUUUGUAAAUCAAAGAAUUGUUUAAAAUGGGAUUGUCAAUCCUUUAAAUAAAGAUGAACUUGGUUUCAAGCCAAAUGUGAAUUUAUUUGGGUUGGUAGCAGAGCAGCAGCACCUUCAAAUUCUCAGCCAAAGCAGAUGUUUUUGCCCUUUCUGCUUCACUGCAUGGAUACAGUUGGUAAAAUGUAAUAAUAUGGCAGAAUUUUAUAGGAAACUUCCUAGGGAGGUAAAUUAUGGGAAGAUUAAGAAAGGUACAAAUUGCUGAGGAGAAGCAGGAAACCUGUUUCCUUAGUGGCUUUUAUCCCCUCGGCAUGCGAUGGGGCUGAUGUUUCUAUGAUUGCCUCAGACUUUCACAUUUACUAGUAGGGCUGAGAGAGGCUUUAGUGAGGAAGGAAUAUUCAGAAUAAAACGGUUGAGAAAGCUGAGAAGACCAUUGAGUUUUGAUCAGUUGUGAAUAGAGUGCAAAGCCAUGGCCAAGCUGUUUUUGGAAACGCUGGCCGGCGUGUCUUCAGUGGAAAAAGCAAAUCAAAAUGGAGCGAGAGCAAAGGGGCGUCCUCAGUCCUCAACCUACAAUCACUGUAUGGAAUCGGUCCUGGCAGCUGAACAUAGGAGGUCACUGGAACAAGUGAUAGUGCAGAUUGGCUUUCAAACAUCCUCCUGGCUUGAGUUUUAUCAGCUACAAUGUGGGUCCUCUUUUGAAGCCUUAAUUCACAACAGCAGCUUUUUGGGGGUGGGGCUGGGCGGGUGUUGUCAUUGUUCUUUCCCUUCCUGUAAGUGUCGCUAGUUGCUGCCUCGUAUCUCAGGUUUUUCUCUGUUUUUGAGAAAUGGACAGUUUUUUGACCAGGAUGUGACUUCAUGUUUCCUAUGGUGACUUCUAAAACCAGCACAGAAUGAUAUGACUCAACACAGACCGACUUGGUUAUGGGGAUGAUGAGCCGCACAGACCUCACUAGUUGUGCACAAAUAAUGUGCUAUGAUGGGGUGUAAAGUGAAGGCAGAAGAGGGUCAGCCGCAUUGUUAUGAUACUGGGAAAGUGCUGGUCAACGAUUUGAGUUAGUUUUUAGAUAUACAUUGAAAUCUUUAAUCAGACAUUCUCAAGUUUCACACAGUAGUUUUUGAUGUUAUGUACACACACACCAAAUGUGUAACAGUUCACCACUUCCAGAGUGUGGUCAUGCCCAAAACAUGUUUAAGAAAGGAAAGCAGUAGCUCCUUGCUAACGAUGUUUCAGGAGGUUUGGGGGACUUGGUUUUAAUGAGCUUCUGUCAUUUAGGGCUUCUCUUGGCCAUGGUCCCCCUUCCUUCUGGAACUGUGAUGUAGUCACAUCCUACAGCCUUUAGUGCUGGUUCACUAGUGUCAGAUAAUCAGUUCUUGGAAUCGAGACUGCCGUGGCGAAGGGGUGGCCUCGGAGGCAGGCUCUGGAGCUGCUUGGAUGUCUUUAGGUGGGGUGGUGGCUGGCUCUCUUCAGCAUGUAAUUGGGGAAACCCUCGCGUCUACUAGGGGUGAUACAGAUGGUGAUUUUAAAGAGCAAAACUAGACUUCUAUGUGAGAAGUGCUGGAAAAUGAUUUAGGACAUGUGUAAAGUUAGAUGGAAAGACUGUAAAUGUUUAAUAUGAAUAUAGUGUUCUUUUGAAGUAAGGCCAGCUGUUGAACGGUUAAACUGUGCAUUUCUCAUUUUGAUGUGUCAUGUAUGUUAAUGUAUGAAAUGAUUAAAUAAAAUCAAAACUGGUACCUGUUUAUACAU
rnacentral:lncRNA from 1 species